CCCCGGCUGCCUCUCUCCAUGCGGGAGGCCGGGGCCUCUGGGCCGCCCUCGGAAGCUCCUGCCCUGACCCUGCACCUUCUGGCUCCCGAAGAGACCGCUGGGCUGGGGGCGAGGGCUCCCCGCAGCGCAGGGGGACCCGGGCGGGGCCCCCCACG